CUCGGCCCUUAGCACUGAAGUGUGCAAAAGUAUGGGUGCUGCAUUCAUCCAUGCAGAGCACUGACAGCAUCCCUGCCCUCCCCUGUGCCAGGUUUGUCCUUGCCUGGAGCUUGGUGCAAGAAGGAAUGGUGCUCUAAGCAGUCUGCCCAACACCCUUCCUGUGCUAAAUAUCAGCAGACGUGGUUCCAGGCUCAAUUAGGAAAGAAUUAAAGGAUUUAGAUUCAAUUAACAUGGAGCAUUAUGGAAAGCUUUAUUUUUUUUUUCCCUAUAGAAACCUGCCUGUGUUCUUUUCCUCCCCAGGAUCUGUAAGUCAAGGUGAUGAGGAGGAGAGGGGUGUGAUGAAGGAACGUAGUGUUUGUGGAGGUCCUGGCCAAGGUACGGUGCUCCAGCAGUGGGAUGCAGCAGUGUGCUUAAUGAGCCUGUGCUUGCAGCACUGGUUGUUGCUAGGUGGAAGUGGUGUCAGCCCAGAGUCAUCCUGCCCAAGAUCCCCUCAUGUUUGCAGGGGUGCAUCCCUGAGAUGGAGCACUCCAGGCCACCUCCUGGCAUCGUGCUCCUGAGCCUUUAAUCAUCC
ensembl:lncRNA